UGGGGAAUAUUGCACAAUGGGCGCAAGCCUGAUGCAGCCAUGCCGCGUGUAUGAAGAAGGCCUUCGGGUUGUAAAGUACUUUCAGCGGGGAGGAAGGCGAUAAGGUUAAUAACCUUGUCGAUUGACGUUACCCGCAGAAGAAGCACCGGCUAACUCCGUGCCAGCAGCCGCGGUAAUACGGAGGGUGCAAGCGUUAAUCGGAAUUACUGGGCGUAAAGCGCACGCAGGCGGUCUGUCAAGUCGGAUGUGAAAUCCCCGGGCUCAACCUGGGAACUGCAUUCGAAACUGGCAGGCUAGAGUCUUGUAGAGGGGGGUAGAAUUCCAGGUGUAGCGGUGAAAUGCGUAGAGAUCUGGUGGAAUACCGGUGGCGAAGGCGGCCCCCUGGACAAAGACUGACGCUCAGGUGCGAAAGCGUGGGGAGCAAACA
rnacentral:rRNA from 1 species